ensembl:snoRNA
GAUCUGUGAUGAUCCCAUCCCGAACCUGAACUCCUGUUGAAACGCUAAAAUUUCGGAUCUAGCUUCUGAGAU